rnacentral:rRNA from 1 species
CACGUAGGGGGCGAGCGUUGUCCGGAUUUAUUGGGCGUAAGGAGCUCGUAGGCGGUUCGGCAAGUCGGGUGUGAAAUUUCGAGGCUCAACCUCGAAACGCCACUCGAUACUGCUGUGACUGGAGUCCGGUAGAGGAGUGCGGAAUUCCUGGUGUAGCGGUGAAAUGCGCAGAUAUCAGGAGGAACACCAACGGCGAAGGCAGCACUCUGGGCCGGUACUGACGCUGAGGAGCGAAAGCGUGGGGAGCAAACAGG